rnacentral:lncRNA from 1 species
GUGCAGAGCUGUGCGUGCCUGCCGAGGCUGGGCAGCAGACUUCAGACUGGGACAUCAUUAGAGAUGCCACGGUCCAGAGGAAGGACACAUCGGCUGAUACAGCUGACCACAGGUUGGAGCAGUGCAUCUCUGGGGAACAUCCAUGAAGACCAACAGAGAAUGAGAAGGACAGAGCAGCAAAGGGCACCUGCAGGGAUGGAACAGCCACCAGGAGCCAGAUGCUUUAACUGAACUGACUUGAGUUGAACCCUCACAACAGACCCGCCAUGCAGGUACUUAUUAGAUAAGAGAGCCGAGGACCAGGAAGGCCAAAUAGCUGGCCCAGGUUCCCCCAGGUGCCAGCGGUAGGACUGCAAUUCUGCUCGUCGAAGCCCUCUCUCUU